AAAAUUUUAAAAUGAAUUGUAUGAGCUGUUUAAGUAAUGAAUUAAGUCCGUUAACACCUCGUGUUUGACUCCGGAAACGGUCUCGGGUACGGGGAGUUACAUUUAGUGGUAUCAGAGCAGGUUUAGUCGGUUCUCGGACUAACCGAGCAUGUGUAAAAGUUUAGCUAUACAUGCCACUGAUUUGUGAUAGUGUGAUGUCUUCCGAUGCGUAUGAGUACCGUCUUAUUUAGACAGGGUACUCUCCAACCGAGCUGUGCCGACCAUGUUCAAUGUUAUGUGAAGGUAUUUGAGUAAAAUUAUGAUUAUGAUAAGUCUCGAUUCAGAAAAGUAUGAAUAAAGGUUUAUGAUACAUAUGUGAUAAAUAUUCAUAUUUGCUUAAUGCUCAUAUGAUGUAGUGUAUGUGGCUUACUUGAUAAGAUGAACGGAAUAAAUAGAAAGUAGUAGAGGUAUGAAUAAAGGUCAUAAUAUUAUGAUACGAGUGAAAAUGUCCUUGUCUUGAUUUGGACGUCGAAUGUUGAUAAAUGUUAAUGAUAUAUAAUUUUUAUGAGAUAAAGGAUUAUAAUGAAAUGAACUUAUCUAUGUUAAAUUGUUGGACUGAAUUAUAUGAUUGUAAUGAUAUGUACAUGAUGAUGCACAAAAUGAAAGUUGUGAUUGUGAUGCAAAUAUCUAUGUUUGUUUGGCCUUAUAUAAUGUCAUGAGCAUGACUUAAUUUAAUUAAAUGAAUGGAUAAGUAAAGCUAUCUAGAAAACAUAGAAUGUAUGCAUAAGUAUAUUGUCUAAAUGGACAAUAGGAAAAUUUGUGUAAGCCAACAUGAAUGUUGCAUUGCCUGAAUGAAUGACAUGAUUUUGAUGAUGUUGCUAUGAUGAUGGAAGUUGUGUCAUAUGUGUAUGUAUAAGAAAGUCGAGUCAGAGGUCCUACAACCCCUCCCCCUUACCGAAAUGGUACUUAUAAUGGAAUUUCAUGAGAUUUGUAUUAAAUAAGUUUCCGGUUGAGAACCCAAAGAGUACAGUGAUAGAAUAAUUAUAAGUAUGAUUAGAGAUUGAAAAUGAGCUGAUAAGUAAAGUCAGAGCCAGUAAAGUAUCGGAUUGACGUAAAGAUUAUUGGAGUUAUGCACUGUCCCAGUUGGAAAAGGAAUUCUCCUUGGUAAACUGAAUUACUCAGGUGCAAGGUUGAGAAAAGUGUAAAUCGAAAUUUAUUCAGAAUUGGCCUUCUUUAGUGAAUGGUUUAAUAUGAAUUUUGUGACAGCAAAACUAGUUGGGGAAAUGAUAAUUGAAAUGUGAACUAUCUGAGUGUGACAGUUAUGACUGGACAGAUUUAGCAGUCUCUUUUGAGAUGUUCUAUGUGUUUACCCGUUCUCAAAAAUAUUUCUAUGGCUAUUGAUCUUCUGAAGAAAUUCUUGUUAUAUGGGAAUGUCUUCUAAUUCCGAUGUUGGAUGAAAGCAUUGGUAGUCUGACUGGUUUAUAAUUUAUAUUGCUCUAUUUCAUCGGGUAUUCUAUUUCAUUUCGUCUGAUAAGAAUUGAUGAGAGAAUACGUAUGAUAUUAUGAUUCUGUUUCUUCUACUUGAUGCUUCAUCUGAUAUAUAUGUAUGGGAAGAUAUAUUGAUCUUGUUAUAUUUGAUUUCAGUGGGAUUAAAUGAUGUUUUCUUCUGGACUUUCUUUCUUUGAAGAAUUAUCGGGGUAUUCCGUAUUUUCUCUAUGACUUUGGUUUUCGAUUCUCCGGCAUAGUAUCGUAUCUUGGGUUUCUUUAUCCUAGAUCUCUUUAUUCUGGAUUUCUUUAUUCCGGGUUUCUCUAUUUUGGAUUUCUUUAUUCGGUUUUCUUGUUAUCUUUGUUCCAUAAUUUGUCAAUUACGACUCAUGUUCGAAGUGGGUUCUUCAACUCGUGAUAAUCAUGUAAAAUAUGACUAUACUUCUAAUUUGAUCUUAGUAAUGUGGUGAUUUUAGUAUUGGGAUUUUUUUUAAUUUCUGUGUAAGGAUUUGACAUCAGUAAAGGCAUAGGUGAUAAAAGCGCGAGUUUCAGUCGGUAUGGUAAAUUAUUUAUUUGAAAGAUUUCAUGUGACAAUUAUGUCAGGAUUAUUUUUCCCAAGUCUGAUAAUAGAAUUUCAUUUUGUACGGAUAAAAGAGUAAAUAGUUUGAACGAGAAGUGUAUAGUUAUUAGAAAAGAGUUGGAUAUUAGUUUAAGUCACUACGAAUGAUAAGGUUUCCAUCUAGUGAAAGCUGAAAAGUUUAUUACAUGUUGACAGAGUUCGGAUAGAUGAGAAUAUUGGUAACCGAAGCGUCUGAACUAGACUAGUCUACAUUGAGCAAAGACUUCCUGACUUUCAGUAAUGUAUUAUUGUAUGAAUUGUGAUGUGUUUCAAGACAGUGAGGUAAUGUGAUAGUUUAGAGCAUCUGAUGUUACAUAAAAUCGGAGUUGUUAAAGGGGUUAAAGCCGAGCAUUGGGAUCUAUCAAAAUUAUCCUUGUCAGUGUUGAUAUUGGGAUGGAAAUGAGAAGGAUUAUUCUUGAGGCCAUAUCAGAAUCAUUUCUAUGGCGGAAAGAGGAAAAUGUGAUGUAUCCUAUUAUUAAAUGUUUGGCGAGAUCUAUAAAUCAUAUCUGUAUUGAAUGAAUUCCUACUCAUCAGAUCCAUGGAAUUUCAGGUCUCUUUGAUUGUUGGAUUUCUUGGAAUUCUGGUCUCCAUCCGGGUUUUAUGUCAUGAUAUCAUGGGAAACUGAGAAGGGUUGAAAGUUUAAGAACAGUUGAGAGUUGAGACUGUAAGCUUUUAGAUCAUAUGAGAAAUUGAAGAGAUGUAUUGGAGGUACAGUCUAAGCGCAAGUUCUUCGGCACCGAAUAUGAGAUUAAAAGUGAAGACCACUUUUCUGGUAAGAUUUUCGGGGACGAAAAUCCCUGAAGAGGUGGAGAGUUGUAAUAUCCUAAUUUUGGGCCUAGUCGGAAUAGUGGUUUCGUGACCAUAAAAUCCGAGAUAGAAAUAAUUAUUUUAUGAUUAUUUUAAGGUCUAUGAUAUGAUUGCAUGAUUGUGUGAAAAUUUCGUGAAGAAAUUUUAUGCAUAAAGUGCUUAAAUUGAAAUUAGGGACUAAAUCGAAUAAUUUGCAAAACUUGUAUUCUAGAAGUUUCUAGUAUGAAAUUGUUUUGAAAUAUUAAUUAGGAGGUCUUAAAUAGAAAUUUUACCAAUUUCUAAGUCUAUGGACAAAAAUUGGACAUGGAUGGAAUUUUUGGAAAGUUUAGUAGUAAGGGCAUUUUGGUCAUUUAGGGGUAAAAUGAAUUAAAAUACAAAAUUAAAAGCCAAUUUUGCUCAUCUUCAACCCCAUGGCCGAAUAUAGCAAGGAGAAACCAUGGCUAGGGUUUUUCAAGCUUCCAAGCUCGAUUGUAAGUCCGUUCUAGCCUCGUUUUUAAUGAUUUUUACGUUUUUGGAGUCCCGGUAGCUCGAUUAAGCUUAUGUUAGCAAUAAUUCAACCUAGGGUUUAUAUUUGGAAAAAUACCCAUAGGUGAAAUUUGUGUAUUUUGGUGUUUUAUGAUAGAAUAUGAGGUUUUAAAUUAUGUUAGACAACUUGUGCUACUCGGUUUUAAGUGAAAACGAGCAAAAGGGCUUAAUUCGGUAAAAAUACCUAAUAGUCAUAAGUACAUGUUAGAGUGAGAAUUUGAUGUUGCCAUAGAAGGGAAAAAUGAUCAUCAUGUCAUAAAACAUAAGAAAAUAGGCUGAAGUUUAAUUUACGAGCUUUGGGGUAAAAGUGUAAAUAUGCAAAAGUUUAGGGACAAAAUUGUAAUUUUUCCAAAAUAUGAUUUUGGGUCAAUUUGAAUAAUGUGAGUCCUAAUUAGACUAUAUUUUAAAUGAUAGAGCAAGGAAAACUGAAAUUCGGGCUAAAAUGGGGAAAAUACCAAGUUGUGGACGAAAUGGUAAAAGUAGCCAUUUUCGCAUACGAGGUAAGUUCAUAUGUAAAUGUUGGUAACAUAGUUAUUGUUUUAAAUGUUUUAAUGUUAUUUAAAUGAUAUGAUAAUUAUUAUGAAAUAUCAUACUUGUGACAAUUGUUUGAUAAUAUGUCAAAUUAUGUGAUAUAUUUGGAAAAUGUGAAAUACUACCGAGUAUCGGUAUCAGCAUUCCGUAGAAGAUGGUUGAGACACAUGAUUGGGAAAAAGGUCCCGUUGAACCUUAGGAAUGGAUUAGGAUACAAGUGACAUGUCACUAGGAUUGUUGAGCAUCCGAACUCGUUGAGUUGAGUCCGAGUUCACUUAUGGAUGCAAAUGUCCGAACUCGUUGAGUUGAGUCCGAGUUCGAGAGAUGUAACUAGGCAUCCGAACUCGUUGAGUUGAGUCCGAGUUCACCUAUGGAUGCGAACGCCCGAGCUCGUUGAGUUGAGUCCGAGUUCGCUUAUGGGCGGGUUACAUGGUAGCUUGGCUACAUAUGUGGCACUUAUGUGCAAACUUUCCAUGUAUCCGAAUUAUAUUCCGAUGUGUUCAACGGGUAAAAUUCUACUCAAGCGGAGGAAUACUCGAGAUGAAAGGGACGUAUUGGUAAGUGUUGUGAAAUGGACACUUUAGACAAGUAUGUUCUUAACCCUCGGGUUGGAAAUAGAUACAACAACGGUAAGAUCGUAAGAUGAUGAAUGAUAUUUAGAAAAUGUGAUUUGAAUGUCUCGGUGAUGAUUAUGUAAAUGAUGUUUUAUGUUUGCUUAUAUAGUUAUGUUACUUGCUAUUUGCAUGUAAACUUACUAAGCAUUUAUGCUUACUCCCUCCUUUUCAUUCCUUGUAGUUUUGACAAGCCAGCUCGGAAAUCGGUAACGGUCAGAGGCUCGCUCACACUAUCCGUAUA
rnacentral:lncRNA from 1 species